CCUACGGGGAGCAGCAGUGAGGAAUAUUGGUCAAUGGGCGGAAGCCUGAACCAGCCAAGUAGCGUGCAGGAUGACGGCCCUACGGGUUGUAAACUGCUUUUAUACGGGAAUAACGCGCCUUACUUGUAGGGCUUUGCAUGUACCGUAUGAAUAAGGACCGGCUAAUUCCGUGCCAGCAGCCGCGGUAAUACGGAAGGUCCGGGCGUAAUCCGGAUUUAUUUGGUUUAAAGGGAGCGUAGGGCGCAUGUAAAGCGGGCUGUGAAAUGUCCGGGCUCAACCCGGGCCUUGCAGCGCGAACUGGCGUGCUUGAGGCCGCGCAAGGCAGGCGGAAUGCGUCGUGUAGCGGUGAAAUGCUUAGAUAUGACGAAGAACCCCGAUUGCGAAGGCAGCUUGCUGCAGCGGAACUGACGCUGAUGCUCGAAAGCGCGGGUAUCGAACAGGAUUAGAUACCCUUGUAGUC
rnacentral:rRNA from 1 species